UUCCCGUGGGGCGGUGGAGCGGCCGUGCGCCUCCUCGGGCCGUGACCCCGGGGUCUGGCGCGGGGUGGGACGGGGAGGGCAGGUUUGCGCAAAAUGUGCCGGGGCUGCCCGGGAGAGGAGCGGCGGCCGCGCUGAGCCAGAGCCAUGAGCCACCGGAUCCUGCUGCUUCUGGCCGUGCUGACCCUGGGCCUGGCUACCUCCCAACACCGAGACAAGGUGCCCUGUAAGAAGGUGGACAAGGAAGUCUUGUGCCGGGGCCUUGGCCUACUCCAGGUCCCCUCGGUGCUCCCACGGGACAUUGAGGUCCUCGACCUGUCUGGGAACCAGCUGCGGAGCAUCCUGGCCUCGCCCCUGGGCUUCUACACAGCGCUUCUUCACCUGGACCUGAGCGCCAACGAGAUUAGCUUCCUCCAGCCAGGGGUCUUCCAGGCCCUGCCCCACCUGGAGCACCUCAACCUGGCCCACAACCGCCUGGCGGUGGGCACGGCGCUGAGCACUGGGGGUCUGGGUCCCCUGCCACACCUGACGUCCCUGGACCUGUCUGGCAACAGCCUGUACAGUGGCCUGGCGGAGCGGCUGCUGGCGGAGGCACCCGCCCUGCGCAGCCUCUCGCUGGCGGAGAACAGCCUGACGCGCCUGGGCCGCCACACCUUCUGGGGCACGCCCGCGCUCGAGCGGCUGGACCUUCACAGCAACGUGCUGAUGGACAUCGAGGACGGAGCCUUCGAGGCCCUGCCCCACCUGGCACACCUCAACCUCUCCAGGAACUCCCUCACCUGCAUCUCCGACUUCAGCCUCCAGCAGCUGCGGGUCCUAGACCUGAGCUGCAACAGUAUUGAGGCCUUUCAGACGGCCCCGGAGCCCCGGGCCCAGUAUCAGCUCGCCUGGCUUGACCUGCGGGAGAACAAACUGCUCCACUUCCCCGACCUGGCCGCACUUCCAAGACUCAUCUACCUGAAUGUGUCUAACAACCUCAUCCGCCUCCCUGCGGGGCCGCCCCAGGGCGGCGAGGGCCUUCACGCGCCUUCCGAGGGCUGGUCCGCCUUGCCCUUCUCUAACCCCGGCCGCAACGCCAGCACCCAGCCCCUCUCUCAGCUCUUGAAUCUGGAUCUGAGCUACAAUGAGAUUGAGCUCGUCCCCGAGGGCUUUCUUGAGCACCUGACUUCCCUGCGCUUCCUGAACCUCAGCCGGAACUGCUUGCGGGCCUUUGAGGCCCCGCGCGUGGGCUCCUUGCCUUGCCUCGCACGCCUGGACAUGAGCCACAAUGCGCUGGAGACGCUGGAGCUGGGUGCCAGGGCCCUGGGGUCUCUGCAGACGCUGCUCCUACAGGACAACGCCCUGCGGGACCUGCCCCCGUACACCUUCGCUGGCCUGGCCAGCCUGCAGAGGCUCAACCUGCAGGGGAACCGGGUCAGCCCCUGCGGGGGCCCAGGUGAGCCUGGACCCGUGGGCUGUGUGGCCUUCUCUGGCGUCUCCUCCCUCCGCGUCCUGAACCUGGCGGACAAUGAGAUGGAGACGCUCCGGGCAGGUGCCUUCCUCCACACUCCGCUGACCGAGCUGGACCUCUCCGCCAACCCUGGGCUGGAUGUGGCCACAGGGGCCUUGGCGGGCCUGGAGGGCUCCCUGGAGGUGCUGGCCUUGCAGGGCAACGGGCUGGCCGUCCUGCAGGUGGACCUGCCCUGCUUCAGCUGCCUCAAGCGGCUCAAUCUGGCAGAGAACCGCCUGAGCCGCCUGCCUACCUGGACGCAGGCCGUGUCCUUGGAGGUGCUGGACCUAAGGAACAACAGCUUCAGCCUCCUGCCGGGCAGCGCCAUGGGCGGCCUGGAGACCAGCCUGCGGCGCCUCUACCUGCAGGGGAACCCCCUCAGCUGCUGCGGCAACGGCUGGCUGGCGGCCCAGCUGCACCAGGGCCGUGUGGACGUGGACGCCACCCAGGACCUGAUCUGCCGCUUCGGCUCCCAGGAAGAGGUGUCCCUGAGUCACGUGCGUCCUGAGGACUGUGAGAAGGGGGGGCUCAAGAACGUCAACCUCAUCAUCAUCCUCACCUUCGCCCUGGUGUGUGCCAUCCUUCUCACCACGCUGGCCGCCUGCUGCUGUGUCCGCCGGCAGAAGUUCAACCAGCAGUACAAAGCCUAGAGAGUCUGCGGGCUACAGACCAGCUCUGUCGGGGGACCCUGCCAGGUCAGUGGGGGAGCCAGAGGCACGGAGAAGGGUGGGGACUGACCCAAGAUUACCCAGUGAGCCAGGAUCCAAGAACCCUGGUCUCUCAGUCCCAGCCCAGGACUCCUGUCCCUGUAUCCUGCUGCAUCAGUAGGUGACUCACUUCACAGGGUGCACGUGUGGUCCAGCUGUGGAAGCUGGAAGAUGGGCAGCUUGCAGGAGUGACAGAGUGUAAGGUUAACCCAUCGGAUCAACACAUCUUCACCAGGCGUCUGUUUUGUGCCACACCCUGCCCUGGGCACGGGGGACGCCAGGGAAUGAGACACAUCCCUGCCCUCAGCAUCGCCCAGUCUGGGUGGGGAGGUGGUUGCAGUGACCACACAGAGCGUGGAAGCCAGGGCCCCAAAGCUCUGCAGCCCCAGCUGGCUGAGUGUGGAUGGCCCUGCUGGGCCAGGGUAAGAGAGAGGCAAUGCCGACCAGGAGGAUUUGUCUGAGAGGUGUCCAAGCAGACCGUUCGUCACAUCUUCUGAUAAUGACUUCCAGCUUCUCUGGAACAUAAAAAGCUUGUGACCGGAAGAGAGCUGGAGCCCCCUAAGGCUUGGAUCCAGUGCUAUUCGGCGGGCUGCGGCAGCUCCAGCAGGGCCUGGUUAAGAGGCGCUCUCCCUGGGCUCCAGCCCAGUGCUGGACCAUUCCGUUUCCUGCUCCGGGCAGGCUCUUUCCCUACCUGGCACUCUCGUGUUGCACACACCGGCCAAGAUACUGCCCUAGCCCCGCUACUCCCUGCCCAGGCCGCCCUGCUCCAUCCCAGCCUCACCCUGGCUGUUGAGCCAGGAGUGAGAACCUUAGGUGUCUGGUUCCGUUCGGCACCGCACUUGGCAGUGGUGACAAACCCAAGCCUGCAUCUGCCUCUUUAUGACAACCCUCUGAGGUUCAUAUUUUAUCCCAUUUUACAAGAGGCCCCAAAAGUCUCCCUCCAGGGACCUCCAGCUAAGAAAUGCCGGAACUGAGCUCCAGACUCACAUCCUCCUGAGUCCAGAGCCUGAGCUUGGCCACUGCAGGGGCUGCAGGCUGUUAGGCGGACAGGAACAAGGCCCGGGAGCGUCCUGUGCCGUGCACACCCACCCGCUCCUCUCCCUCCUCUCUCCCAGGCGGGCAGAGGGAAGAUGGGCAGCCGCCGGCCCUCUCCUCCUUCUGUGCCUCAUUUUCCCUUCUUCCCUCAUUUGCAGACUAGGCGGGCUCUCCUUUUUCUCUUCUUGCUCUUGCGUGCCCUCCUUCCCUCUCCCUCCUUUGAGCAUAGCCUGGACUUUGAAACCAUUGAGUCCAACCUCCCUGUUGCACAGGUACGGAGGCUAAGACUGAGGAAGAGAAUGGGACUUGCUCAGAGCUGCACAGGUCAGUGGCAGCGCCUGUGAAACAAGGUGGAUUCAGACCUCAUUGAGGGGGUGGGGGGCGGGGCUUGGUGGUUAGACCUGAAUGGUUUCCUUCUCUCUCAGCUGUCACAUCACAAGGUGAUGCUGGCUCCAAACUCGCUUACUAGUCCUCAUCAUGCAGGGACUUUUUUUUCCCCUAGAAAAAUGGAUAGAAAAAUCCCAUCCAGGGACUUCCCUGGUGGCGCAGGGGUUGAGAGUCCGCCUGUCGAUGCAGGGGACGCGGGUUCGUGCCCCGGUCUGGGAAGAUCCCACAUGCUGCGGAGCGGCUGGGCCCGUGGGCCAUGGCCGCUAAGCCUGCGCAUCUGGAGCCUGUGCUCUGCAAAGGGAGAGGCCAUAGCAGUGAGAGGUCCGCGUACCGCAAAAAAAAGAAAAAAAAAAAAAUCCCAUCCAGAUAUAACCCCCUGUUUCUCAUACCCAUGAAAUCGUGGGCCGUCUGGGAAGAAAGGAAGCCCUGGGAUUAAUCCCGGGACCCUGUGUCAUUGUCUUCACCCUCUUACCUGUGCUUGGCCCGCACUCAGGCUCACGAUGGUGCUCGGUAAAGUGUGAGAUGAUGAAAAUGCCCCAUUUUACAGAUGAGAAAACUGAGGCCCAGAGCAGGUCGAGGACUCAGGGAGUCAACGGCAGAGCCGGGGCUAGAGCCUGGUGGCUUGGCCCCAGCCCGGGGCCCUGGUGGCAAGUGGGGCAGCCGGCGGGUCCAUUUCUGUUUGGGAUCAUGACCACAGGUGCUCACUGCACACAAACACUCUUCCUCAGGCCUGGAGGGCAAGGUGUGGGCCCCUGCAUGCCUGAUCUUUGAGAACACUACACAAUGCUGCUCUCACUCCCCAGGACCCAGGCUACAACCCAGGCCUCGGGGCCAGCUCUUUGUGUAACCCACGUGAAUGUAUUAAAAACGGAUUUUGGAGAAACAGUGCAGCCUGCCGGCCUCCUCCUUGCUGCGGGCUCCAGCUCCGCCUCCCCCAUCCGCAAGCGUCCUGGAGAUUUCUCCAGCCCAGCUUCCUCCCUGGCUGUGACCUCUCGCUCCCAGUUGCUGCUCCCAGCUCCUACUCUCCAAAGGAAAAACUGAAAUGCCUAUUUCAUGGAUGGGGCUAGGCGGUGAGAGGGUAUGUGACGCAAUGCCCUGGCACACAGUAGGUGCUGCCCGAAGGCCUGCAGGAGGGCAGUAGCAUGGGCUGAGCUCAACCCAGGACUCUGGGAACCUGGGAGCCCACCAGGCCCCUAACCCCUUUUCCUGGCAAACAGGGGACUUUGCUCACCUGACCAAGACCCCAGCAAGGCAGAAAUUCCUGUUUUCAGCCGAACGUGGACACAGCUGCCAACUAGGUCAUCGGAGCAUCCGGCAAGUUCCAGGGCGAGAGGAUGCCCUUGCACAGCCCCUGUCACAGACAGACUGUGGUGUCAGGUCACCUGGCUCACUCAAUCCACGAGGACCCGGCCCAGCAAGAGCCGGGCUCGCAGGCCGGGUAGGAGGAGAGGAAGCCGGCAUCCCUGGCCCACCAGAUGCCUCCCCCGGUCAGUUCCCUGUGCUGGCACAAUCCCCCAGGAUCCAGGAUCCAGAGUCUGCUUUCUGUGCCCCUGUUGUUUAGCAGCUCAGAGGCCCUGCAAGUCCGGGUCCCUGCGGCCCUCCAUCCUCAUCUCUCUCUGGCCACCUCCCACCUCCUAUUCAGAGCUGACAGAGCACUUCCAGGUGGGCCCUGCGCUGAAUACUUGAUGUACACGGUCGUAUAUAAUUCUAACACUCUUUGGAGAGAUUUCUAUUAUUAUCAUCCUCACUUUAGAGAAACUGAGACUCAAGAUGCCACAGCUGUCAAGUGCUAGGGCUGAGACUUGAGCCCAGGUUUGCCCUGCUCCUCUCUGGAGCCAGCAAUCUUAACCGUUAGGCAGCACUGCUUCCUGACCCUCCCAAUUCUGGCUCUCUCCCACCUCUUCUACUUGAAAUGUCUCACCUACCCUGACCCCCCUGCCAAACUCCUCCUUUUUCAAUGCUUACCUGCAUCACCUCCUCUGGGGAGACUGCCCUGAUUUCCCUCCUCCAGCUGCCAUCAGCCCUGGGCUGCCCGGGGCCACAACACUGGGAUGUCUGCCUGAUCCACCACCAGACCGGGAGCUCCUGGAAGGAGGGCUUACCCAGAGACCCUUCUGUGUCCCCUGGGCCCGAGCCAACACAGAGGCAAGUUCAGGAAAGAUUUCCUGAAUGGAUGGCCCUGCCCUCCAGGACCUAAACACUUGUGGGGAUUAACAUCAGCCCUCAGACCAAGAAUGGGUGAUAAACUUCUCAGACAGACCCCAGGAACGUAGAGGACACAGAGGGACUGCAGGGUGUGGGCUGCCCAGGGGAACAGGAAUCUUCUCUCACCACUCUCAUUCCCCUCAGUUCCUCUUGCCUCUAGGACCCUUUCUCUUCUUCUUCCUCCUCUCUCCCCCCAACCCCUCUUCUCUUCUCCUUCUCCUCCCUUGGUCAUCUCUCCCCCACCCCACUCUCACUGGGAUGAGUUGGAGCUGUGGUGCUGAGAACGUGGAGGGGUGGAGGGGAGGGAGGCCCGAGCUGUUUAUAGGAACUGGAGCAGCUCCAUCCAUCAGCUCUGUUUGGAGCUGGAAACCAAGCAUAAUAAAUACCUUGGCUCCUCCCCAGCUGUGCUUUCCCUGAACUUGGCCAUUCGAACUCCAAAUUUCUCUGGCCUGCUGGUUCUCAGGACCCAGCUCCCACCCCACCCCACCCUACUCCCACCUCCCACCAAGCUGCCCUGGAAAGAGCCCUGCCUCUGGGGCCAGAAAUGCAGGGCUGAGUCUAGGCUGUGCUGCCGCUUUGCUUUGGGAGCAAGUCGUGCCCCUGGUCUGUGCCUCCAUUUCCCCAUCUGUGAAAUGGGGUCAUGAUCACUGCACCCCCCCCAAACACGCAGUGCUGUUCACAUGUUAGGCUUGAGCAUCUGCUUGACGCUGGGCCUGGGCCCUGCGGGAUCCCUGGGAACAGGCAGGCAGAGCCUCUGCCUAUUGGGCGGAGGGAGGGGUCACACUACAGCCCAAGCAGGAAGUGGUCAGCGCCACGAGGGAGGUCCAGACUUUGUGUUCUGGGAGUUUGUUUGCAGCAGGGAGCGGCCCUUCCAGCUGGAGGAUUCAGAGGAGACCUCGAGGACAUCUGGGCUGGCCCUGCAGGGAAGGGUAGCAUUUCAGCAUGUGGAGAUGGGGAGAGCCUCUUCCAGACGGAGCAGACUGCCAGAGCAAAAGCUGGGCAGUGGGAAGAUGUGAGGGUGGGGGCAAAGAAGAGUCUCCCUUUGUGCAUCCUUCACCCUGUCACUCCCAACUCUGUCCUCUCUGAUCCUCCAGCACCUUUCGCUCUGACCCUCUAGCUUUUUGGAAUCUUCCCUCCUUCCCUGGAGAGCUUCAGACUCACCCAGCUCUCCCAGGUUGUGGAUGCAUUCCCAGAAUCAUGCAGUCACGUUCCCACUCCCACCUCCCCCCAGAAAGCCACCCUAGAAAGUGGAAGACUCAGAUCAGGGGAAAAGUCACUGGCCAAGAGCACGUUUCUGGAAUGAAUAAGGGAAUAAAUGAAUAAAAGAGUGAGUCAAUGAAAAAGAGGAUAAUAGGAAAUUAUUGAAUUCAACUGACAUACUGUGCUGUACAUACAAGCUCCCUCCUCUGGUGGUGCUGGUGGUGCUGUUUAUUUGGCGGGGAGGGGAAUAGGCAUUAAAUACAUGACUGUGCGCAGGUGCGUGCGCGCGCGCGCACACACACACACACACACAAGAAUAAAGACAAAAUGGCAAACUUUGAUGAGUAUUAUGAGAGAAAAUAAUAGGGAGACAGAAUGAAAUGGGCAGACUCAGAGAAGUCCUCUCUGAGGAUGGACUCUGUAAGCUGAGACUGAAGGAGGACUUAAGAUGAGUGAGUGAAUUAAUAUUCCUUCUAGCCUCUUCCCCUCACUCCCAUGAAUUUGCAAGAGCUGCACUUUAGACCCUGAGGUCCAUUCUCAUGCAUUGAAAGGUCCCCCUACCCUGGGACCCUCCUGGCCUUCCCCUGCCCUCAGUGCCUUGGCUGUCCCAUUCUAGAAUCAUGGAGAAAAAUAUGGAAGGCCACCCAUAAGGGGUGGUGGGGAGGGAUGGCCAAGGGAUGGGUGCCAGGAGUCAAGCAUUGUGGGGGUGAGGGACUGGCUAGGCUACAGGGUAAGAAAGUCAAGUUCCAAAGGCCCCUGCUUUAUUUGGGGUGGGGCGGUGACGUGGGCUUUGUUCUCUCUGCCAUUCCUGAGCCACCCAUGUCAGCUUGCACUAACCAUAUUCUUUCACCCUAGGUAGCUUACUAGCGUUCUCCUGUCUAACCUUCUGUAUAUUUUCUCCAUAAUCAAGUCACCAUUGACAGAUACAUUUAAAUUAUAUGCAGAUAAACUUAUGCAUGUAUCACUGUUUUAUAAAAAUGGGAUC